rnacentral:rRNA from 1 species
GAGUUGAUCCUGGCUCAGAUUAACGCNGCGGCAUGCUUAACACAUGCAAGUCGAACGGUAACAGCAGAAAGCUUGCUUUCUGGCUGACGAGUGGCGGACGGGUGAGUAACGCGUAGGAAUCUGCCCAGUAGUGGGGGACAACCCGAGGAAACUCGGGCUAAUACCGCAUACGCCCUACGGGGGAAAGGUGGCCUCUUCAUGAAAGCUAUCACUAUUGGAUGAGCCUGCGUCGGAUUAGCUAGUUGGUAGGGUAAAGGCCUACCAAGGCGACGAUCCGUAGCUGGUCUGAGAGGACGAUCAGCCACACUGGGACUGAGACACGGCCCAGACUCCUACGGGAGGCAGCAGUGGGGAAUAUUGGACAAUGGGGGCAACCCUGAUCCAGCAAUGCCGCGUGUGUGAAGAAGGCCUGCGGGUUGUAAAGCACUUUCAAUUGGGAAGAAAAGGCGUGGGUUAAUAGCCUACGUUCUUGAC